rnacentral:rRNA from 1 species
UGGGGAAUAUUGCACAAUGGAGGGAACUCUGAUGCAGCAACGCCGCGUGCGGGAUGACGGCCUUCGGGUUGUAAACCGCUUUCAGCCAUGACGAAGCUUUUGUGACGGUAGUGGUAGAAGAAGCACCGGCUAACUACGUGCCAGAAGCCGCGGUGAUACGUAGGGUGCGAGCGUUGUCCGGAAUUAUUGGGCGUAAAGAGCUUGUAGGCGGUUUGUCGCGUCGAUAGUGUAAACACGCAGCUUAACUGUGUGCCUGCUGUCGAUACGGGCUGACUAGAGGAGGGUAGGGGAGAAUGGAAUUCCCGGUGGAGCGGUGGAAUGCGCAGAUAUCGGGAGGAACACCAGUGGCGAAGGCGGUUCUCUGGACCUUUCCUGACGCUGAGAAGCGAAAGCGUGGGUAGCAAACAGG